CCGCAGCUAAUUAAGCCGGCCGAGCCCCGCCCCCCCGGGGCCCGGCGCGCACUGGCUGCGCACAGAGACCCCUCCCCCCCCGGCUGUGUAGGGACCCCCCCCGUGGGGGGCACCCAAAGGGGCUGGGGGGACAAAA
ensembl:snoRNA SNORA70 Small nucleolar RNA SNORA70